rnacentral:rRNA from 1 species
AACGAACGCUGGCGGCGUGCCUAACACAUGCAAGUCGAGCGGGAAAGUUCCCUUCGGGGAGCGAGUACAGCGGCGAACGGGUGAGUAACACGUAGGUAACCUACCCUGGAGACCGGGAUAACCUGCCGAAAGGUGGGCUAAUACCGGAUAAGACCACGAGGGCUGCGGCCCUUGGGGAAAAAGAUGGCCUCUGCUUGCAAGCUAUCACUCUGGGAUGGGCCUGCGCGCCAUUAGCAGUUGGUGAGGUAACGGCUCACCAAGGCUGAGAUGGCUAGCUGGUCUGAGAGGACGACCAGCCACACUGGGACUGAGACACGGCCCAGACUCCUACGGGAGGCAGCAGUGGGGAAUAUUGGACAAUGGGCGAAAGCCUGAUCCAGCGAUGCCGCGUGUGUGAAGAAGGCCUGCGGGUUGUAAAGCACUUUCAGUAGGGAAGAAAGACGA